CAGAAAAAGCCACAACGGUGCACAGGUUAACUGCCUCUGCACAAAGAAAAGAGGACACCUAGGGUUUGUCGUGAACCCGAUGACGGGCAUCGCUUACUAUGAACAGCUGUAAGGAUGAUUACGAAUCACACCCUCCUGCUGUUCUCACUGGACUGGCUUCCUUCCCUUUCAGCACCACUUCAUUAAAGCCUUGCAGAAGCUCUCCGGAAGCAUCCAACCGCCUAUUAGAAGGUCUGUAAGAUAUGGUGCUGGGAGUUGAACCCAGAGCGUGCCAUCUUCUACUGAGCACUCCCCACAGACGACACCCGGGUUUUUUGUUUUUAAUUUUUUUCUUUAAACAUCCUUCUGGGAAUCUUUCUGAUCUGUUGGCCUAUUUUUCCACAGCUCCCAAACACCCUGAGUUUUUUUUUUUUAAGGUUAUGAACAGAUACCCCCAACCUAAACAUGUCAGAAGUCUCCGUUCCUUUUUUUACAGUUCCGCUAUCCAGAAUGCCCUUGGCCAACCCUGUAUCUACAUGUAUUCUUUUUUUCCCCCUUUAGGUAGUAUACUUUUUAGUUUUUUUGUUUUUGUUUGUCAUUAUUAUUAAUAUUAAUAAGUAUUAUUGUGUGUGUGUGUGUGUUGUUCAGGCACACACAUGUCAUGGCACAUGUUGAUAUCAGACAACUUUUGGAGAUUUUUCUCCUUCCACUAAUGGAUCCAGGAACUGAAUUCGAAUCCUCACACUCAUACAGUGAAUGCUUGUACCCAUGAAACCAUCUCCCUCAGUCUCCAGAUAUAAAUAAUCUUAUUGUGUAGCCCGGGCUGGGGUCAAAGAUGUGACAAUCUUCCUCUCUCCCUGAGGCUGUAUGGACUCCUGUGAUUGACCACCCAGACUCAGCUCAAGUGGAGCACAGUGAUGCCCAUGUGUAAUCCUAGCACUUGGGAGUCCAAUUGGCAUCAUGAUUUGCUGUAAUCUUAGUACUCCCAAGGCUGAGAAGCAAGUUCAAGGCUAGCAUGGGCUGCAGAAUGAGAUUCUGACUCAGUAUCUCCCUUUUCCCACCCAAAAAGGACAAGAAAAAGAAAACAAUUAAAUAUCAACAAUUCUGUAAAAUUUCCUCUGAUCUCUGAAUAAAAUAGGAUGGUUUUUCUCUGUAUAGAUCCCGUAACAUCUGAAAUAAAACUCCAUUUUACCAUUUACUAUCUAGCUGUAAUUAGUAGUAGAUGCAUUGAUUGGCCUUACCGCUAAUGGACCCCAUUUUGGUUUGUGUUUGUCUGUUUUGAGGCGGGAUCUCUCUGUGUAGUCCUCCAGACUGGCCUGAAAUUCACAGAGAUCCUCCUACGCCAGCCCCCUGACUGUGAGGGUUGUAGAUGUGUACCACCGUGGCUGGUUUCUGUCCCGUUCUUAAUGCGACAUCACUAGACACUUGUCAGUUCCAUCAAUUCCGAGUCACCUGUGGCCUCACAU